CGUUUUCUCUAUCUGGAGCUCCGCCGAGACGCAUCGGAGCACGCCGUUGCGAACCACCGCGUCCACCAGCCACCUCGAGCUGCACCAACUUGUUCAAGAGGACGACAAUGCUCUUCAUCGACCACACCCAUGGAUCGAGGUCGGGAACACCGAUUUGGAUUUCGUCCGAGAAAAAGGAAUUUCGUCCAAAAUUCGCUUGUUUCAUUUGGGCCCGGUAUAAGUACAAAACGGUCAAAAAAUCCGGCCUCAUCUGAGUGUUCCGGCCGGCCUAUGGUCCAAAAUAGCCCGCAAAUAUCCCCCCAGCCAUAUAAACACUGCAACCGAGCGUCUCCUAACCCUAACCUUCGUUCUUUGCCCCACCUCCACUUCUCUUUGCGGCGGCUGCAUCCUCCUCCUCUAGCGCUCAACCACGGGCCACCCUACUCCUCCGGUUAACCAUCUCUGCCUAGCCCCCUUCUCCUCCAACGCCGCACCUCCUCAAGCUCUCCACCCCGUUCUUCUUUCCCAUGGAGACUCAAUGUCGCGGCCCUGACAACGCCAUGACGGGGCGACCCUGUUGACGGCGGAAACAACAUGGAGGCCGGCCACAUGAGAUCGAGGAUGCACUUGGGCGUGGACCUUCUCGACAGCAGCACCAGUAAGCGUGGCCACACGCAGCCGAUUCUUGGCGUGGAUUGUAUGGUUUUUCCACCGGUUUAUUUCAAAUCUGGCAUAACUCUAUCAAUUUUCGUUUAAAUUCGAUUUGUCAUUUUCGUUUGAAAUAUAUCCGAAAAACCGAAUUUCACCCAGGCCCCGUAAAUUUUGCAAAACGAAAUCCGAAACCUUGAUCGGUAAGCACCCGCGACGCUACCUGCGCCAUUCCCCUCGGUCGCCAUCCGCCUCGGCUGCCGCCUCGAUUCGCCCAUCUCUGAGCACACCGGCUUCCCCGAGCGCCUCACCUUACCACUGUGAGCCUCAGCUCCCCCUUGACCCGUCCCCCUUUUCUUUCCCAUGCCCCGUAGUCGUCCCGUCGCCGGGAUCCGCUCACCGCGCCCCGCUAGCCCCGCCCGCGUGCGCCUGCCCACACCCAUUGCCGCUCGCGUGCGCCCAUCCGCCCGUUGUCGCGCUCCCGAUGUGCCCGCACCUCGCCUAGCCACGCGCCCGCAGGUGCUCGUGCCCGCCUGCUCCCCCACGCGAUGCGGAUUGCCUGCUGUUGCUCCUUAUAGUGUUGCUUUGUUGCCGCUGAGGUUGUGCUGCUAGCUAUUGCUGCUUUGUGGAUGCCGUUCCUCUGCUACUGCUCGUUGCCGCUCGCGCUCGUCACGGCCGCCGCUGCUCGUUGCUACUACCGCUGGUUCCGGCCACGCCUGCACCCACUGCUGCCUCCCCUCGAUGCACGUCGUCGCCCUCGUGCCAUAGACGCUCUCGUCCGACAAAAUGGUCACCGCGGCGGGCCGCUCCGUGCCUCGCCGCCGCCCCUGUAGCUCACCGUUGGCGCGCAUAGCGCGCAUGCGUUUAAACAGCAAUCGUUGCUCACUGACAUGUGGGCCUGACUGGUUUAGAUUAGUGGCUAAUCUAAUUAGCAUCCCUAACAGCCAUUGACAUGUGGGCUUGCAAUGUUAAAUAAUUAUGUUAUAUAACACAUAAGCCACUCACCCGUGGGCCCCACUGCCCUAUUUAACUUGUUUACAUUAAUUAAAUUCCAUUAAUGCUAACUGUCAAUGACAGGUGGGGCCACCCUCCACUAUUCUAGUGGAUAAGGGUUGACCGGUCAGCCGCUGACUCAGCAGCUGGCCCCCACUAUCAGCCACACAUGUGCACUACUGGGUACACUCACUGUGUACCCAUAGCAAUUAAUAUUAAAUUAUUUAUGAAUUUAAAUAAAUCCAAUAAUUCCAGAAUAUUGAUAAAACUUUGAAAAAUCAUAUAAAAUAAUCCGUAACUGGGAUGAAAUAAUUUAUAUAUGAAAAAUGAUCAGAAAAAUAAGACAAAUCCAAAUACACCGUCCACACAUAUGUCACACACCUCUAACACUGCAAACAUGGAACCUUCCCCUCCAAAUUGUUUGACCGAAUAAUACCUGGACCUGGGAAAAUAUUUUCGAAUAUUUUCCCUCUUAUUUUAAAAUGUUUAGUGAUGCAUUAGAGCAUGUCACCCACACAUCUUGUCGUGCCAUUGCAUUUGUGUUGCAUUUGAUUUCUCCGCUAUUUAUUUGUUCCCCAUCUGUUAAUUCUUUUUCGGUAGACCCUGAGACCGUUGUUGAUCCGGUGAUGGACUACUUCACCAUCGAGGGUCUGUAUCUGUCUACAGAGCUUCCAGGCAAGCAAGACCCCCCGUGAUGAUUCCUGUAUCGCCCAUUAUUUCUCUCUCAUGCUUGCAUUAGAUUUUGCUACUGUUGUUUGAUAGCUCCUAUUCUGAUGCAUAACCUGCUUUUGUAACAUGCUAUUAUUACUUUACAUGUUAUCAUAUAUGCUUAGUAUAGGUUGAGUAGUGAUCCAUCAGUGUCCCCUCACCCUUGUCCUUGUUGCCCCGCUUAGUUACCAGGGACUCGAUCAAUGUGAUCGACGUGCUGAGACCGACACAUCACCGCACACCUCCUUAGUUGUACGACUCUGCAAAGCUACUAUCGAGUGGCAAGGGUGAUACCUCCUACCUCACUCCUGAUGAUACUUCUAUAGCGUGGCUAGUCGGUUGUGGGUUAUCGAGGGCGAUUCCUCUUUCCCCAUCUCCGAUGAUGCCUCUGUCGUGCAGCCCCGCAAGCGUGAACCAUCGUGGGUGAUUCCUCCAAGGUCACCUUGACUGUUACAUCGAGUGGGAAUCCAUCGAGGGUGAUUCCUCAUAUUCCCCUUGAUGUUACGUGCACACUGUUACCUUUACCCAUUCCCCGUCUACUAUUUAUGCGGGUCUGAAGGGACAGGCGGUACCACCCCCGUAGAGGUGGACCGGAGUUUUCGAUAGUCUCUUGUGAGUCAGGUUGACCCGGAGGGUACCCGCGAGAUAAUUAAGAAGCACGGACAGGCAGGUAGGCCGCCCUAGAGAGGGAUGGGCCUGACCAUUGCCUUAAGUCCUCGAGAUGGGGCGACAGGAUCAUUGAUCAUCUCCAUGCGCUCCUAAUACACUAACGGGUUGGUAUAUGUGAUCUGAGUAGCCCUCUGGCCUUUUCGCACUAACCACCACGCGGGAAUAAGUAUGGGCACUCGACGUCGUACGAUUCUCCGAAAGCUCUUCGAACAUCAACAAUUGAGUGGCGCGCGCCUAGUUGGACGGUAACCACCUGCACUUGUAUAAGGGGGAUGGGUCUGCUCCAGGCUACGUACGCAACACACAGGAGUGCAAAGGGCGAUGGGGCCAAGACCCCUGAGCGCUUAGGAUGUAGAUCGGCGUGGUGGCCUCUCUGUUGAGCCUAGGUAGAACUACAGUGUGUCGAUCAGCCAAGGACGGACAUGACUCGCAAGUGUGUCCGACCAGAGUAAAUCGAGCGUGUUGGGUAAGUUGGUGCACCCCUGUAGGGAAGUAUAUCUAUUCGAAUAGCCGUGUCCACGGUAACGGACGCUUGGAGUUGUAUCCCAAUCUAUUAUACCUAGAAGUGGAUACUGGAGACACUAAAUGGAUAUGAUGGCUCCAGGAUUGCUUUUUCGCAGGGAGUCGAGGAAGGAUCUCUAGGCGUUACUACCAUAUACUUGUUACUUUAUAAUAUGCUAAUCGACGCUCUUCUAGUGAUGUAAGAUGCUGCAAGAUGCUAGUCUUCGAUAGGCUAGGUCUUUCCUUCUAUGCUGGCACUUCUACAGUAUAGUCCAAAGAUAUAGCCCCAUUCUUUUGAUAUCGACGCAUACUUAGUACGUAUAGAUCUGACGUAAGUCUUGCGAGUACUUCAGAUGAGUACUCACAGUUGCUUUGCUACCCUUUUCUCUCUUUUCCCGAUUCCUGCAAUCAGAUGACGGAGUCCAGGAGCCAGCUGAACCCGCCGACGAUUACUACUACCCC
rnacentral:lncRNA from 1 species